AUUUAUUCUGUAAGACCCCCUUUCGGGGACCCCCACUCUAGUCUCAGGAGUGUGAGAGCACCCAAAGAAACACGAGGACCC
rnacentral:pre_miRNA from 7 species